AUUAGGCAAACUCAUCUUAAUUUGGAUCUAGAUUAAUUGGAUUUGGAUGAAACCUAAUUAAGAAGCAAAUAAUCAAAACCCUAGAGUCCAAAUUAGUUGGACUUCCUCCCUUGCACUACAUCUCUUCUCCAUGCCACUUCUCAUCGCAUAAAACUAGUUUGUGCAUAAGAAAAACUCCAACAAGAGCCUAUUGUUAUCGCCCACC
rnacentral:lncRNA from 1 species